AAAGAAAGGACUGUUGAACCUUGCCAAGACAAGGUCAUCGUCAUCAGCUGUAAUCAGUGCAAUCUAAAUUUUAGAUGAUGCUGCCUGAGUUUCGAAGGAAGCUUUGCCCGGUUAUGGCUUUGCUCUAGUGAAAUUCACUGAAUUCCAGCACUUGCAAGUAGACAGCAAGUCCUGACGGCUUCAUCUGAUCUCAUAAGUGUACACUGUUCCUUCUUUUGAACCAUUUUAACUUUCACUUUUAGACUCUUCAGCACCAGAGCAAAGAUUUUUUUCAACUUUUCAUGACUCAUAGUAAAUGUUGGAAACCUAAUAAGUUCAUAUACAGUUAUCUAUCUUUUGUUCUAUAUGCUAUUUAACAACUGUUUUUGUUUCCUUUCUAAUUUGUGAACAUUGUAUAGUUGUAGAAUAUUUUAACUAUGUAAAGAUGUGUUACAUUUGUUUAUGCCUUGGAAUAUUACUUUGUGUAAAGGAACGUUACAUUUGUUUAUGCUGCAUUUGUUUAACUAUUAAGGAUGUGUGUUUCAUUAUGUAAAGAUGUGUUGCAUUUAUUUCACCUUGCCUGCCUAAGGCACCUGAUUCAUCUAAUGAAGACCUGAAUGGCCAAUAAUAGCUAGGUAGACAGAGAAUAGGCAUGGCUGGCAGGCAGAGAGAAUAAGUAGGAGGAGAAAUCUAGACUCAAAAAGAAUGGGAGAGAGAGAAGAGGAAGAGAACAAGGAGAAAAAGGAGGGCAUACCCAAGGCAAGAAGACAGGCAGCCACUAGCAGGCCAGACAUGAGAAUCAGUGAAACAAAGAGGGAAAGAAAAAGGGAAAGAAAGGAAGAAAGAAAGAAAGAAAGAAAGAUAGAAAGGAAGCAAAAAGCCCAAGGCAAAAGGCAGAUAAAGAGAAACAGGUUAACUUAAGUUAAAAAAAAAAAACUAGCCAGAAAUGAGCUAAGCAUUCAUAACUAAUAAGAAAUCUCCAUGUCAUGAUUUAGGAGCUGGUUGGGGGCCCAAAAGUAAAACCCUGGUACAUUUGGCACCCAACUUGGGGCCCAAAUUUCCACAUAGGGUCUGAGAAAGCUUAAAAAGAUACGGCUUCUUUAAGAGUCUCUACCUUACAGCAGAGCAUUUAAAGAGCCUUUUUCAUGCAGAAACAGCAAGCUAAGUAAAAAUGCCUGCUGCAGCACGUCACAGGUAUUCCAGAACUGAGGGGUUGAAUGCAGUUCCCAGCCACACACCUCUGGACAGGUCUGCAAGCUUAAGGCUGGGCUCUCACAAACCCCAAAGCUGCAGCAGAAAACCCAGCAGUAGCUUAGUAGUUUUAUAUUUUACCCAUGCAGACAGAAAAGGCUAGAGAUAUGUAUAAAAGUAGGUUCCAUUGGACAAAACCUCUAAGCAGGUUACAUCGUGUUUUAAAAUGUGCAUACGCUUAAGAAAGAAAAGAAAAUAGAUAUAGACAAUCAUAGAAACAAGUAUACAGUUUAUAAAUAAUAAUAAAGAACAAGCUACAUAGACAUAGGAAAUACACAGCAAUCCUAGAUUGCUAUGGAAUGAUCCUCUUGUACACUGUAAUAUUUGUCACUUGAGUUAGUUUAAUAAAAUGCUGAUUGGCCAGUAGCCAGGCAGGGGGUAUAGGUAGGGCAAACAAACUAUGAAUGCUCAGAUGAAGGAAGGUGGAGUCAAGGAAGCAAGAUGAGAAUGUCAUUUUGAGAAAAGUUACCAAGCCAUGUGGCCAAACAUAGAUAAGAAUUGUGGAUUAAUUUAAAUGUAAGAGCUAGUUAGCAAUAAGCCUGAGCUACCAACUGAGCAUUUACAAGUAAUAUUAAACCUCUGAGUCAAUUAUUUGGGAACAGGUAGGUCAGAGAGAAACUUCUGCCUACACUGGAUCCUGUAUAGUGUUGUGCUGUCUUUGGAUGUUUUGAAUGCUGAUGAGAAAAUGGCAGUUGCCAAUCAACAUGGAAUUGUAACAGGGACUGCUAAAUUAAAUCAGCCUAGAUGCUUUAGGAAUGCUUUAACUUUAAAAUGGAAUUCAAAAAAUUUAUUGUUUUGGGGAAGAAGUAAUGCUUUUGUUUCCACAGGAAACAAAAGGCUAUGGGUUCAUUCAAGGUUGAUAAAGAUCAGGUUUGAUUGGGGAAGAUUCUCUGAAAAUCCAGGCUACAGAUAUAAAGAAAUAAACCUAGAAAAAGUACAAUACAGCUGAUGUAU